UACGUAGGGUGCAAGCGUUGUCCGGAAUUAUUGGGCGUAAAGCGCACGUAGGCGGCUUCUUAAGUCAGGGGUGAAAUCCUGGAGCUCAACUCCAGAACUGCCUUUGAUACUGAGGAGCUUGAGUCCGGGAGAGGUGAGUGGAACUGCGAGUGUAGAGGUGAAAUUCGUAGAUAUUCGCAAGAACACCAGUGGCGAAGGCGGCUCACUGGCCCGGUACUGACGCUGAGGUGCGAAAGCGUGGGGAGCAAACAGG
rnacentral:rRNA from 1 species